rnacentral:rRNA from 1 species
AUUGAACGCUGGCGGAAUGCUUUACACAUGCAAGUCGAACGGUAGAGGGGGCAACCCCUUGAGAGUGGCGAACGGGUGAGUAAUAUAUCGGAACGUGCCCAGUCGUGGGGAUAACGUAGCGAAAGUUACGCUAAUACCGCAUACGAUCUACGGAUGAAAGCGGGGGACUCGCAAGAGCCUCGCGCGAUUGGAGCGGCCGAUAUCAGAUUAGGUAGUUGGUGGGGUAAAGGCUCACCAAGCCAACGAUCUGUAGCUGGUCUGAGAGGACGACCAGCCACACUGGAACCUGAGACACGGCCCAGACUCCUACGGGAGGCAGCAGUGGGGAAUUUUGGACAAUGGGCGCAAGCCUGAUCCAGCAAUGCCGCGUGCAGGAUGAAGGCC